rnacentral:rRNA from 1 species
CCUACGGGAGGCAGCAGUGGGGAAUAUUGGACAAUGGGGGGAACCCUGAUCCAGCCAUGCCGCAUGUGUGAAGAAGGCCCUCGGGUUGUAAAGCACUUUCAGUGAGGAAGAACGCCUGGUGGUUAAUACCCAUCAGGAAAGACAUCACUCACAGAAGAAGCACCGGCUAACUCCGUGCCAGCAGCCGCGGUAAUACGGAGGGUGCGAGCGUUAAUCGGAAUUACUGGGCGUAAAGCGCGCGUAGGUGGCUUGAUAAGCCGGUUGUGAAAGCCCCGGGCUCAACCUGGGAACGGCAUCCGGAACUGUCAAGCUAGAGUGCAGGAGAGGAAGGUAGAAUUCCCGGUGUAGCGGUGAAAUGCGUAGAGAUCGGGAGGAAUACCAGUGGCGAAGGCGGCCUUCUGGACUGACACUGACACUGAGGUGCGAAAGCGUGGGUAGCAAACAGGAUUAGAUACCCGUGUAGUC